AACAGUAAUUUAAAGGGCUCUUCAGUGACGUUAGAAAUCAUUAAAUCCAAUUCUUUCCUUUUAAAUGUAAGGAAGCUGUUGAAGAAAAGUCCCAUGCUGUGUUUUAUGUUUUGAAGGCGAGGCCAAAUGUGGAGAUGGCAUAACCAGAAGAGGGAACGAACUGGCCUGGAUGUGACUCAUGCUUGGAAGGGAGCUGUCUGGAAGGACCACAGUACCUGCAGCCAACUUUG
rnacentral:lncRNA from 1 species